rnacentral:misc_RNA from 1 species
GCGGGGCACACAUGUAUAUUACAAAUGCACAAGCUGCUGCUAUUGUAUUAUUAUUAUUAUCGAUGUAUCCGUAUGGUUACUUAUUACUAUAUACAGAGAGCGCAUUGUGCAAGAUGAGGCGUGGCUCUGCACAACGCCGUAGAUGGUGGGGGGAGGGGGCUAUGGGAGAGAGCGCGCAGCUCUCUCAACACUGAAAACGGGAGGAGUGGGUACGACCAUACUUGGCCGAAUGCACCACAUCCCGUCCGAUUUGUGAAGUUAAGCGGUCCCCGGCC